rnacentral:tRNA from 2 species
GAUCGGAUAGCGCAGAGGUCGUCGCGCGCUGCCUGCAAAGCAGUGAGGACGCCGGUUCGAAUCCGGCUCCGGUCC